rnacentral:rRNA from 1 species
UGGCGGACGGGUGAGUAAUGUCUGGGAAACUGCCUGAUGGAGGGGGAUAACUACUGGAAACGGUAGCUAAUACCGCAUAACGUCGCAAGACCAAAGAGGGGGACCUUCGGGCCUCUUGCCAUCGGAUGUGCCCAGAUGGGAUUAGCUAGUAGGUGGGUAAAGGCUCACCUAGGCGACGAUCCCUAGCUGGUCUGAGAGGAUGACCAGCCACACUGGAACUGAGACACGGUCCAGACUCCUACGGGAGGCAGCAUG